GACGAACGCUGGCGGCGUGCUUAACACAUGCAAGUCGAGCGGUGCGGCGAACUGGGGAGUAACGCGUGAGUAACUUCCCACCUCUCUGCGAUAACAGUUGGAAACGGCUGCUAAAACCGGAUAGUGGGGGAUGACUCGCGUCCUAUCAUAUUGUUGGUGGAGUAGGGGCCGACCAAGGCGACGACGGUUACACGGCCUGGGAGGGCGAACGGCCACAGUUGGCUGGGAGACGGGCCGAAAGCCGCCGGGAGGCAGCAGGGGGGAAUAUUGCACAAUGGGGGAAAGCCGGAUGCAGCAACGCGCGUGCGGGAGGACGGCCUUCGGGUUGUAACCCGCUUUCAGCCAUGACGCGGUAGUGGCAGAAGAAGCACCGGCUAACUCCGUGCCAGCAGCCGCGGUAAUAC
rnacentral:rRNA from 1 species